rnacentral:lncRNA from 1 species
CUUUAGACGCAGUGGCUUAAUAUAUUUACUACAACAGUAUUGUACUCUAUAGGUACGUACUAGUAAUAUUAUGCAUGGUAAGUUAAUAGUGUGCAUGGAAUGUAAUUGACAUGUUUUUGUUAUUACCAAAGCGUAAAUGCAUUUGCAACAUAAUUUCCAUUUUUAAUACUAGUACAUUUUAUUCCCUCACGUUUUCUUCGACUCUUCCUUUCCAUUAAUUUCUUAAAGGUUAACUAUAUGUAUAUGGAUCAUGCUUUCAAAUAAUUUAUAUAUCGACUUUCUUCUUUCAUUGAAUUUGAAGUGUUCUGCCAUCUAUUGUAUAAGGAAACUAAUUAAUAUCGAAAACAAAUCAAGCAUUUUGAGUUUUCAAGUAUAAUAUAAUAGUAAUGUGAAGCUUGAAUAUAAUUUCUCUUAAUUCUUAAGUUUGAUCUGCUGAUCGAUCAAUACUUACCCAGCUUCCAUUAUUGUAUAUUAAAGUGUGUCUUCUUUGUUUUUGAUUUUUAACCUCUUUGAUAUAUAUAAUCCAUAAUAAGGUCAAUUACACGUAUUUAUUUCUAUUGUAUUUACAUAUGGAUCAAUGAUCUAUUUUUCAAAUAUGUAAUUUUAAUCAUUACCAUCUUUCAAUUUUCUUUGAUUAUGAAGCAGAAAAUCAGAAAAGUAGAAGUUAGAACAGAAAUGACAAAUUAUUUUCAAGCCCACAGAUUUAUUGUGUAUUCUUAAGAAAUUUGUUGUCCGAGCUAUUUUGAAUUAAUCUCUUCCAAGACAAAAUGAAUCUAAUAUUAGAGUAUAUAAUAGCGCAGCACUUCAAAUUUAGAAUUUAUAAGAAUGAACUCUGCUUUAACAAGAAUUUGUUCUCAUAUACGUGAAGAAAAUCAAAUCUUGAAGUAUCUAUUUCAGGUUAUUCUUUGUAGUAAUUGAUUGAUCAAGGAAAUAAUUAGAAGUUGUUUUGUUUUCGAUUUUUUAAUGCAAUCUAUGCUCAAAUAUAUAUAUAUUUUUUUAAAUAACUCAAGAGCGACGAAAUAUUAUGUAUAAUAUCUGGGGAAAGACGCCUGAUUAUCAAAUGGGAAGAUUGUAAAAGAUUGUUGCACUUGAAAGAAAUAUAGAAUAUUAGUUUCUCCUUAAAUAGGAAAUUAUUAGUAUUUUUUUAAGCCUUAAAUAGGAAAACAAUUCUACUAUAUAUGGAGAUUUACUUUUAUACUCCGUCCGUUUCAAAAUAGUUGGCCCUAUUGCUAAAAAUAUUUAUUUCAAUUUAGUUGUCCCUUUUAUGAAAUCAAGAGAAUUUUAUUAUAUUCCUCCAAGAUUACCCUAUUAUUAAAUGACGAUAUAAAGUAUAUAUACUCACAUUUAUACUUUCAAAGCAUAUCCUAUUAUUAAAUGACUAUAUAAAGUAUAUAUUCUCACAUUUAUAUUUUCAAAGCAUAGUUAAUAAGGUUAAUUUGAUGAAAAAAAUACCUAAUUAAUAUUUUCUUAAUGGGUGCACCAAGUCUACAGGAGUAUUCAGUUACGUAUAUUCAUUUGAAAAACUGUCAACAUAAAAAUAUUGAAAGUUGUGCUAUUUUACUUUGCUUCAAAGUGUAUUUUAUGUGUGCUUUAAACUUGUGAAUCACUGUAUGAAUUGUGUGUAAAAUAUAUGAUAUGUGAACGACAUAGCUCUAAUUACUACUCCCUAUAAUAUGUAUGUAUUUCAGAGAUUCUUGUCCAUUUAGAAGUUACUUGUAUUUUAAGGAUGGGUUUUAUUAGUAGAGGGUUGGUACAAUUGGAUUUUUGACUUGCGUUGAGUUUUAUUUACACAUCCAAGACUCUUAUGAGAGGCAAUUUUUUUUUUUUUUUUAAUAGGCGAAAACUUGACGGAGCAAUACCGCGUAAAGGUACACGGAUAAUGUCAGAGUGUCUGGCCAUAUACUCCAAGGACACGUGGAACAUAAGAAACAUCUAUUUUUGGAUCCAAGUGUCAAUAUGUGAUGUCUUCAACUCACUCCCAAUUGUCACUCAAUUAUUUUUAUUUACUUUAUUAAGCAACCUAUUUGAUAUAUAAUGUAAAUAUUUUUCAACGAUAUUCCAGCCAAAAGGAGUUCUUGUAAGUUGUAUCUUCGCAGAUACUAAAAAAAAUAUUUAGCAGGCAAUUUGGUU